UCAUUAGACUGAGCUAACCUGGCCUGCAUAUCAGCUCACUCUCCCCUCCCCUCCUUGUGUUUAUGCGCCGUCGAUCUCGGCGCUCCGAUGAUGACGUCAUCACGUUCUUCCGACGUGAGACGCAUCACCAACGAGUGCUGGCCUUUAUAAAGCCAGUCUCAUUCGUUCACCCGACGUGGAGCACAGGCUGCUACCCCCCCGGGACAUACUACACCUCUUAAAGCUGCAAGCUUACCAACGCAUCACUUGGUACCUCUUUACUUGUGAUUCCAAUGAUCCGUGAUGAAUCGGAUGGCCACCAACCUACUGACGUAUACAAGUAGCAAUAUCUUCUUGUCAUAAAAUCUCAAAGCUCGUCCCGAAGAAGCCGUAAGGCGAAACGCGUCGGCGAGAUAAAUAUAUUGCUUUAUAUGUAUUUAUGUAUUUUU